rnacentral:tRNA from 1 species
GCUGAUGUAGCUCAGCUGGUAGAGCAACGCUUUCGUAAAGCGUAGGUCGACGGUUCAAGUCCGUCCAUCAGCUCCA